rnacentral:rRNA from 1 species
CCUACGGGUGGCAGCAGUGAGGAAUAUUCGUCAAUGGGCUUACGCCUGAACCAGCCAAGUCGCGUGCGGGAAGACUGCCCUAUGGGUUGUAAACCUCUUUUGUCAGGGAGCAACGCCGGCUACGUGUAGCCGGACUGAGAGUACCUGAAGAAAAAGCAUCGGCUAACUCCGUGCCAGCAGCCGCGGUAAUACGGAGGAUGCGAGCGUUAUCCGGAUUGAUUGGGUUUAAAGGGUGCGUAGGCGGAAUGCCAAGUCAGCGGUAAAAUCGCGGGGCUCAACCUCGCUCCGCCGUUGAAACUGGCGUUCUUGAGUGGGCGAGAGGUAUGCGGAAUGCGUGGUGUAGCGGUGAAAUGCAUAGAUAUCACGCAGAACUCCGAUUGCGAAGGCAGCAUACCGGCGCCCUACUGACGCUGAGGCACGAAAGCGUGGGUAUCGAACAGGAUUAGAUACCCUUGUAGUC